rnacentral:lncRNA from 1 species
CUACAACUUUUAUGUUGUAAUUUAAGUGUUAAAUUUUUUUUAUUGUAAACUUAUUUUGUGUUAAUAGAUAUUUAUGCUAUGCUAGUUUUUUUAAUGAACAUUUUGUUAUAAAAAAAAAUUAAAAUUUAGAUGAGAUUCUAAUAAAUAAAAAAACUGCAAGCAAACACCAUGAAACAAGGAACAAAAGAAAAAAAGAAAAAGAAAAAAAAAAAAGAGGUCCAUAUAGGUUGCGGGCCCCACGUUAGAGCAAAACGGAGUAAAAAGUGGGCUAAACUUUUCCAAUUUGCGGGCCUCACACUGGUUCCAGCGGCUUCAACCAAAUCCCUAUAUUUAUGUAUGUGGUUGCAUCCUUCUGGCUAGGCGGAGGGAUUUACUACCCAAAAGUGGACCAUUAGAGCACUUUCAUCGCCAGGGGCCAGCCUAGGCAAAAAGGGGCCCUAGGCCCUGAAGGAGACUCCAGCUCGCAGGGUCUAGCCCGGACAAGGCGUGGGACCCACCAGCCUGGGCAAGCCCAUAGGAAGAUUUGGCCUGUCUCCUUGCCUUUGGGCUGGUGUUAGCGCAAGAAUUUCAAAUUAUUUUUACGGUUGGGGUGUGGAAUGCACUCACCAACGAUAAACAAAUUUUGGAUUUCUUGCGCUGACGUCAGACGCCAACCUGACGUCAGCGCUGACCCAUAGCUGCCAGAAACCAACAUCUACAAGUCACGUGGUUUCUCCUGGAGCCUUCGAUCCAAAAAUCCUAUCAAAUCC